rnacentral:tRNA from 1 species
GGAGCUAUCAACCACUCAGCCAUCUCUCCA